CCUACGGGUGGCAGCAGUGGGGAAUAUUGCACAAUGGGCGAAACCCUGAUGCAGCGACGCCGCGUGAGCGAUGAAGUCUUUCGGUAUGUAAAGCUCUAUCAGCAGGGAAGAAAAUGACGGUACCUGACUCAGAAGCCCCGGCCAACUACGGGCCAGCAGCCGCGGGAAUACGUAGGGCGCAAGGGUUAUCCGGAUUUACUGGGUGGAAAGGGGGCGUAUACGGUCCGGCAGGUCAGAUGUGAAAGCCCGGGGCUCAACCCUGGGACUGCAUUUGGAACUGUAAGGCUAGAGUGUCGGAGAGGCAGGCGGAAUUCCUAGUGUAGCGGUGAAAUGCGUAGAUAUUAGGAGGAACACCAGUGGCGAAGGCGGCCUGCUGGACGAUGACUGACGUUGAGGCUCGAAAGCGUGGGGAGCAAACAGGAUUAGAUACCCGUGUAGUC
rnacentral:rRNA from 1 species